rnacentral:tRNA from 1 species
GCGGCGGUGGCGAAAUGGCAGACGCGAUGGUUUCAAAAACCAUUGUCCGAAAGGAUUUGUGGGUUCGACUCCCUCCCGCCGCACCA